rnacentral:rRNA from 1 species
CCUACGGGUGGCAGCAGUGAGGAAUAUUGGUCAAUGGCCGGAAGCCUGAACCAGCCAAGUAGCGUGAAGGAUGACAGCGCUAAGCAUUGUAAACUUCUUUUGUCAAGGAAUAAAGUGAGGCACGAGAGCCUGUUUGUGGGUACUUUAUGAAAAAGCAUCGGCUAACUCCGUGCCAGCAGCCGCGGUAAUACGGAGGAUGCGAGCGUUAUCCGGAUUUAUUGGGUUUAAAGGGAGCGUAGGCGGUUGUUUAAGUCAGCGGUAAAAUCUUGGGGCUCAACCCAAGCGUGCCGUUGAAACUGGGUGUCUUGAGAAGUCGCGAGGUAGGCGGAAUGCGUGGUGUAGCGGUGAAAUGCUUAGAUAUCGCGAAGAACUCCGAUUGCGAAGGCAGCAUACCGGAG